rnacentral:rRNA from 1 species
UUUACUUGGAUAACUGUGGUAAUUCUAGAGCUAAUACCUGCCGACCAGCUCCGACCCCCCGGGGAAAGAGCGCUUUUAUUAGUUCAAAACCAGUCGGGUUCUGCCCGUCCUUUGGUGACUCUGGAUAACUUUGUGCCGAUCGCAUGGCCUCGAGCCGGCGACGCAUCUUGCAAAUGUCUGCCCUAUCAAAUGACGAUGGUACGUGAUCUGCCUACCAUGUUAGCAACGGGUAGCGGGGAAUCAGGGUUCGAUUCCGGAGAGGGAGCAUGAGAAACGGCUACCACAUCCAAGGAAGGCAGCAGGCGCGCAACUUACCCACUCCUGGCACGGGGAGGUAGUGACGAAAAAUAACAAUACGGAACUCUUUUGAGGCUCCGUAAUUGGAAUGAGUACACUUUAAACCCUUUAACGAGGAUCUAUUGGAGGGCAAGUCUGGUGCCAGCAGCCGCGGUAAUUCCAGCUCCAAUAGCGUAUACUAAAGUUGUUGCGAUUAAAAAGCUCGUAGUUGGAUCUCAGGCAUGGGCGCGCGGUCCGCCUCGCGGCGGUCACUGCGUGUAUCGUUUCCCAUCCUACGCUUCCCGGUUGUUCAGCCCAUGGUGCUCUUCGUUGAGCGUUUUGGGUGGCCGGAACGUUUACUUUGAAGAAAUUAGAGUGUUCAAAGCAGGCACGUCGCCUGAAUAAUGGUGCAUGGAAUAAUGGAAUAGGACCUCGGUUCUAUUUUGCUGGUUUUCGGAACACGAGGUAAUGAUUAAGAGGGACAGACGGGGGCAUCCGUAUUGCGGUGUUAGAGGUGAAAUUCUUGGAUCAUCGCAAGACGAACAACUGCGAAAGCAUUUGCCAAGCAUGUUUUCAUUAGUCAAGAACGAAAGUCAGAGGUUCGAAGACGAUCAGAUACCGUCGUAGUUCUGACCAUAAACGAUGCCAACUAGCGAUUCGCUGGUGUUGCUUCAUCGACUCUGCGGGCAGCUUCCGGGAAACCAAAGUUUUCGGGUUCCGGGGGAAGUAUGGUUGCAAAGCUGAAACUUAAAGGAAUUGACGGAAGGGCACCACCAGGAGUGGAGCCUGCGGCUUAAUUUGACUCAACACGGGAAAACUCACCCGGUCCGGACACUGUAAGGAUUGACAGAUUGAUAGCUCUUUCUUGAUUCGGUGGGUGGUGGUGCAUGGCCGUUCUUAGUUGGUGGAGCGAUUUGUCUGGUUAAUUCCGAUAACGAACGAUACUCUAGCCUACUAAAUAGUUCGCCGAUCCUUCAUGCGUCGGC